rnacentral:misc_RNA from 1 species
CUCAGCUGAUCCAUGCACCAAAACCUGCAAGAAAGAAAAUAAAGAACACAUGGUUAAUUAUUUGUUUGAGAGAAGCCUCUACUAUCACAGUGAAGUGCUUUGCUUAAUAUAGUAACAACUGGAUCAUCAGAGAUCUACUAAAUGAGGAAGUGGAUGCAAAAACCACUGAGGGUAUUUCAAAGAUGAUUGACAUUCCCCAAAAAGGAAGAAUAAGAUAAAAGAUGCCUCCACAACACUGUGGAGAAAUUUCUCAAGGCACAGGGUAGCAUAUCCUCUUUGUAUGGCAUUCCAUGGCUACAAACCCAUGGCCACUUGUAUAUUGUACCGUCUAUGAGGAAGUAAUGAUCGUGUUCAGAAUAGCACAAGCAAAAGCCUGCACAUCC